GUCUUCCCUGAAGCCACUGUGUUAGACAGAGACCAGUCCUCAUUGUAGUACUUCUAGUGUUGAUACUGAGGUGCCUACACUGUGAAAGCCAUAUCCCACGGGCCCCUCAAUGGCCUGGCUGGUGUGUGGGCCUCCUCUCCUUGUCUGCUCCUCCCUGGACUUUCUCCUAAAGCUGUAGGCCUGGUCACAGGGGAGCCCAGUGGGGGAGUCCCCAGGACUCAGCCUCCUGGGACACAGCAGAGCAGAAAAGGACAUGCUUCACUUUGAUGGGACAGAUAGAGAAUAAACACCACAAGUUCCUGAGGUGAAAGUGUUUAAAGAGAUUCUGAUUCCCUUCUGGCAACUCUAGAGCACCUUUACUCAAACAAGACCUAGAUUUUCUAAAAGACUGGAUUUAGGAUGGCAACCUGGUUCCUGAUGCCUGCACCACUGAAGCAGAAGGACUCCAUUGUAAAAUUGCUUUGGGAACUCCACAGAGCAGCUCCCCCACUCUUCCUAUCUGAAGACUCAGAAUUUACAUUACAGAAUGUACUAGCGAAGGAUCUGACAGGUCAUAAGAAAACAUGCUAAGCAUUGUUUAACUCAGCAUUUAUCCAAUGAGGCAGUUAGUUGGAGAAUCUUCCUUCUCCCUGCAAGCCUUAGGAAUAGCCUAGAGCACAAGCCUUCUCCAGCAUGCCUGAGGGAUUGCUGCUUUUGGAAGAGUUUUUGAACCUCAGACACGGAGAACUGAACAAAUCAUACUCCUCAGUUCAUGGAACAUGAUUAUCACUGGUUCAUGCAAGGUGCCCCUCUAAUUCACUCAUUCAUUUAGUUGGACUCAAUUCACCUAUUAGGAGCAGAAAGCACAGUGACUUGAGGCACACAAUACUUUUAGGGACCCAUGAAAAUGACUCAGUUUUUUUAAAGCCAAAAGUAAAAAUAUAUAUUAAGGUCAAAGAUACUUAAUACAUGAUAUUAAUAUAUUUGUCUUUAUACCAAC
rnacentral:lncRNA from 1 species